rnacentral:rRNA from 1 species
UACGUAGGGUGCGAGCGUUAAUCGGAAUUACUGGGCGUAAAGCGUGCGCAGGCGGUUCGUUGUGUCGGUGGUGAAAGCCCCGGGCUUAACCUGGGAAUGGCCAUGGAAACUGGCGAACUGGAGUGUGGCAGAGGGGGGUGGAAUUCCGCGUGUAGCAGUGAAAUGCGUAGAGAUGUGGAGGAACACCGAUGGCGAAGGCAGGUCUCUGGGCCACUACUGACGCUGAGAAGCGAAAGCAUGGGGAGCGAACAGG